UACGUAGGAGGCAAGCGUUGUCCGGAGUACUGGGCGUAAAGCGCACGCAGGCGGUCUUGUCAGUCUGUAGGGACAGGGCACAGCUCAACUGUGUCAGGCUUACGGAAACUGCAAGACUUGAGGGCUUCAGAGGGAUGGGGAAUUCCGGGUGGAGUGGUGAAAUGCGUAGAGAUCCGGAAGAACACCAAAGGCGAAGGCACCGUCCUGGGGAGUCACUGACGCUCGGGUGCGAAAGCUAGGGGAGCGAACGGG
rnacentral:rRNA from 1 species